rnacentral:rRNA from 1 species
UGGGGAAUAUUGCACAAUGGGCGCAAGCCUGAUGCAGCGACGCCGCGUGCGGGAUGGAGGCCUUCGGUUGUAAACCGCUUUUGUUCAAGGGCAAGGCAGGCUUUCGGGCCUGUUGAGUGGAUUGUUCGAAUAAGCACCGGCUAACUACGUGCC